rnacentral:rRNA from 6 species
AAUCCAUAGGUUAAUGAGGCGAACCGGGGGAACUGAAACAUCUAAGUACCCCGAGGAAAAGAAAUCAACCGAGAUUCCCCCAGUAGCGGCGAGCGAACGGGGAGGAGCCCAGAGCCUGAAUCAGCAUGUGUGUUAGUGGAAGCGUCUGGAAAGGCGCGCGAUACAGGGUGACAGCCCCGUACACAAAAGCGCAUGUGCUGUGAGCUCGAUGAGUAGGGCGGGACACGUGGUAUCCUGUCUGAAUAUGGGGGGACCAUCCUCCAAGGCUAAAUACUCCUGACUGACCGAUAGUGAACCAGUACCGUGAGGGAAAGGCGAAAAGAACCCCGGCGAGGGGAGUGAAAAAGAACCUGAAACCGUGUACGUACAAGCAGUGGGAGCACAG